GCCGAGGUGGCCGAGCGGACUAAGGCGCAGGCCUGGAGAGCCUGUGUCCCGAAAGGGGCGCAAGGGUUCGAAUCCCUUCCUCGGCG
rnacentral:tRNA from 1 species